rnacentral:rRNA from 1 species
CCCUUAGAUGUUCUGGGCCGCACGCGCGCUACACUGAUACGUUCAACGAGUCCAAAACCUUGAUUGAUAGGUCUGGGUAAUCUUUUGAAGACGUAUCGUGCUAGGGAUAGAUUAUUGCAAUUAUUAAUCUUGAACGAGGAAUUCCUAGUAAACGCAGUUCAUCAAACUGCAUUGAUUACGUCCCUGCCCUUUGUACACACCGCCCGUCGCACCUACCGAUUGGAUGGUCCGGUGAAGCCUCGGGAUUGUGGCCAGUGCCUUUUUGGUUUUGGUUGCGAGAACUUGUCUAAACCUUAUCAUCUAGAGGAAGGUGAAGUCGUAACA